GACGAACGCUGGCGGCGUGCCGAAUACAUGCAAGUCGAACGCUUCUUUCCUCCCGAGUGCUUGCACUCGAUUGGAAAGAGGAGUGGCGGACGGGUGAGUAACCCGUGGUUAACCUACCCAUCAGAGGAGGAUAACACUUGCAAACAGGUGCUAAUACCUCAUAACAGUUUAUGCCGCAUGGCAUAAGGGUGAAAGGCGCUUUCGGGCGUCGCUGAUGGUUGGACCCGCGGUGCAUUAGCUAGUCGGUGAGGUAACGGCUCACCAAGGCGACGAUGCAUAGCCGACCUGAGAGGGGGAUCGGCCACACUGGGAGUGAGACGCGGCCCAGGCUCCUACGGGAGGCAGCAGUAGGGAAGCUUCGGCAAUGGACGAAAGUCUGACCGAGCAACGCCACGUGAGUGAAGAAGGUUUGCGGAUCGUAAAACUCUGUUGUUAGAGAAGAACAAGGACGGUAGUAACUGAACGUGGCGUGACGGUACCUAACCAGAAAGCCACGGCUAACUACGUG
rnacentral:rRNA from 1 species